GGGUUGUGAGGUUAAGCGACUAAGCGUACACGGUGGAUGCCCUGGCAGUCAGAGGCGAUGAAGGACGUGCUAAUCUGCGAAAAGCGUCGGUAAGGUGAUAUGAACCGUUACAGCCGGCGAUGUCCGAAUGGGGAAACCCAGUGCAAUUCGUUGCACUAUCGUUAACUGAAUACAUAGGUUAACGAGGCGAACCGGGGGAACUGAAACAUCUAAGUACCCCGAGGAAAAGAAAUCAACCGAGAUUCCCCAGUAGCGGCGAGCGAACGGGAGCAGCCCAGAGUCUGAAUCAGCUUGUGUGUUAGUGGAACGGUCUGGAAAGUCCGACGGUACAGGGUGAUAGUCCCGUACACCAAAAUGCACAGGUUGUGAACUCGAAGAGUAGGGCGGGACACGUGGUAUCCUGUCUGAAUAUGGGGGGACCAUCCUCCAAGGCUAAAUACUCCUGACUGACCGAUAGUGAACCAGUACCGUGAGGGAAAGGCGAAAAGAACCCCGGCGAGGGAGUGAAAAGAACCUGAAACCGUGUACGUACAAGCAGUGGGAGCACCUUCGGGUGUGACUGCGUACCUUUGUAUAAUGGGUCAGCGACUUAUAUUCUGUAGCAAGGUUAACCGUAUAGGGAGCCGCAGGGAAACCGAGUCUUAACUGGGCGUUAAGUUGCAGGGUAUAGACCCGAAACCCGGUGAUCAGCCAUGGGCAGGUUGAAGGUUGGGUAACACUAACUGGAGGACCGAACCGACUAAUGUUGAAAAAUUAGCGGAUGACUUGUGGCUGGGGGUGAAAGGCCAAUCAAACCGGGAGAUAGCUGGUUCUCCCCGAAAGCUAUUUAGGUAGCGCCUCGUGAACUCAUCUUCGGGGGUAGAGCACUGUUUCGGCUAGGGGGUCAUCCCGACUUACCAACCCGAUGCAAACUACGAAUACCGAAGAAUGUUAUCACGGGAGACACACGGCGGGUGCUAACGUCCGUCGUGAAGAGGGAAACAACCCAGACCGCCAGCUAAGGUCCCAAAGUCAUGGUUAAGUGGGAAACGAUGUGGGAAGGCACAGACAGCCAGGAUGUUGGCUUAGAAGCAGCCAUCAUUUAAAGAAAGCGUAAUAGCUCACUGGUCGAGUCGGCCUGCGCGGAAGAUGUAACGGGGCUAAACCAUGCACCGAAGCUGCGGCAGCGACACUAUGUGUUGUUGGGUAGGGGAGCGUUCUGUAAGCCUGCGAAGGUGUGCUGUGAGGCAUGCUGGAGGUAUCAGAAGUGCGAAUGCUGACAUAAGUAACGAUAAAGCGGGUGAAAAGCCCGCUCGCCGGAAGACCAAGGGUUCCUGUCCAACGUUAAUCGGGGCAGGGUGAGUCGACCCCUAAGGCGAGGCCGAAAGGCGUAGUCGAUGGGAAACAGGUUAAUAUUCCUGUACUUGGUGUUACUGCGAAGGGGGGACGGAGAAGGCUAUGUUAGCCGGGCGACGGUUGUCCCGGUUUAAGCAUGUAGGCUGGUUAUCCAGGCAAAUCCGGAUAAUCAAGGCUGAGGUGUGAUGACGAGGCACUACGGUGCUGAAGUAACAAAUGCCCUGCUUCCAGGAAAAGCCUCUAAGCAUCAGGUAACAUCAAAUCGUACCCCAAACCGACACAGGUGGUCAGGUAGAGAAUACCAAGGCGCUUGAGAGAACUCGGGUGAAGGAACUAGGCAAAAUGGUGCCGUAACUUCGGGAGAAGGCACGCUGGUGUGUAGGUGAAGUCCCUGCGGAUGGAGCUGAGACCAGUCGAAGAUACCAGCUGGCUGCAACUGUUUAUUAAAAACACAGCACUGUGCAAACACGAAAGUGGACGUAUACGGUGUGACGCCUGCCCGGUGCCGGAAGGUUAAUUGAUGGGGUUAUCCGUAAGGAGAAGCUCUUGAUCGAAGCCCCGGUAAACGGCGGCCGUAACUAUAACGGUCCUAAGGUAGCGAAAUUCCUUGUCGGGUAAGUUCCGACCUGCACGAAUGGCGUAAUGAUGGCCAGGCUGUCUCCACCCGAGACUCAGUGAAAUUGAACUCGCUGUGAAGAUGCAGUGUACCCGCGGCAAGACGGAAAGACCCCGUGAACCUUUACUAUAGCUUGACACUGAACAUUGAGCCUUGAUGUGUAGGAUAGGUGGGAGGCUUUGAAGCGUGGACGCCAGUCUGCGUGGAGCCAACCUUGAAAUACCACCCUUUAAUGUUUGAUGUUCUAACGUUGGCCCCUGACCGGGGUUGCGGACAGUGUCUGGUGGGUAGUUUGACUGGGGCGGUCUCCUCCCAAAGCGUAACGGAGGAGCACGAAGGUUAGCUAAUCCUGGUCGGACAUCAGGAGGUUAGUGCAAUGGCAUAAGCUAGCUUGACUGCGAGCGUGACGGCGCGAGCAGGUGCGAAAGCAGGUCAUAGUGAUCCGGUGGUUCUGAAUGGAAGGGCCAUCGCUCAACGGAUAAAAGGUACUCCGGGGAUAACAGGCUGAUACCGCCCAAGAGUUCAUAUCGACGGCGGUGUUUGGCACCUCGAUGUCGGCUCAUCACAUCCUGGGGCUGAAGUAGGUCCCAAGGGUAUGGCUGUUCGCCAUUUAAAGUGGUACGCGAGCUGGGUUUAGAACGUCGUGAGACAGUUCGGUCCCUAUCUGCCGUGGGCGCUGGAGAAUUGAGGGGGGCUGCUCCUAGUACGAGAGGACCGGAGUGGACGCAUCACUGGUGUUCGGGUUGUCAUGCCAAUGGCACUGCCCGGUAGCUAAAUGCGGAAGAGAUAAGUGCUGAAAGCAUCUAAGCACGAAACUUGCCCCGAGAUGAGUUCUCCCUGAGACUAUAAGUCUCCUGAAGGAACGUUGAAGACGACGACGUUGAUAGGCCGGGUGUGUAAGCGCAGCGAUGCGUUGAGCUAACCGGUACUAAUGAACCGUGAGGCUUAACCUUACAACGCCGAAG
rnacentral:rRNA from 1 species